AACUCUUAACAACUGAUCACUUGGCUCUCGCAUCGAUGAAGAACGCAGCGAAAUGCGAUAAGUAAUGAGAAUUGCAGAUUUUCAGUGAAUCAUCGAAUCUUUGAACGCACCUUGCGCCCCUUGGUAUUCCGAGGGGCAUGCCUGUUUGAGUGUCAUUGAAAUAUCAACCUCGGGCGGAUUUUUUAGAUUCCACCGCGAGGCUUGGACUUUGGAGAGUGCUUGCGCUGGCUGGGUCGGCUCCUCUUAAAUGCAUCAGCGGAAAAGAUCUUGAACCUCUGGAAGUCAGCGUGAUAAUCGUGUUGCGCUGUCCACCGGGUCGGGACCCCUCGCUUCUAAUGGUCUUCGGACAAGAUACAUCAAAUUUGACCUCAAAUCAGGUAGGACUACCCGCUGAACUUAAGCAUAUCAAUAAGCGGAGGCU
rnacentral:misc_RNA from 1 species